UACGUAGGGCGCAAGCGUUAUCCGGAAUUAUUGGGCGUAAAGAGCUCGUAGGCGGUCUGUCGCGUCUGCCGUGAAAGUCCGGGGCUCAACUCCGGAUCUGCGGUGGGUACGGGCAGACUAGAGUGCAGUAGGGGAGACUGGAAUUCCCGGUGUAGUGGUGAAAUGCGUAGAGAUCGGGAGGAACACCUGUGGCGAAGGCGGCCGGCUGGGGGUACCCUGACGCUGAGGCGCGACAGCGUGGGGAGCGAACCGG
rnacentral:rRNA from 1 species